rnacentral:rRNA from 1 species
CCUACGGGAGGCAGCAGUGAGGAAUAUUGGUCAAUGGCCGGAAGGCUGAACCAGCCAUGCCGCGUGAAGGUCAGUGCCCUAUGGGCGUUAAACUUCUUUUGUGCGGGAGCAAUAAUGGUCACGUGUGGCCAGACGAGAGUACCGUACGAAUAAGCAUCGGCUAACUCCGUGCCAGCAGCCGCGGUAAUACGGGGGAUGCAAGCGUUAUCCGGAUUAAUUGGGUUUAAAGGGUGCGUAGGCUGGGAGGUAAGUCAGCGGUGAAAUGCCCCCGCUCAACGGGGUGAAGUGCCAUUGAUAUUGCCUAGCUGGAAUGCGGAUGCGGUGGGAGGAAGGUGUGGUGUAGCGGUGAAAUGCAUAGAUAUCACACAGAACACCGAUUGCGAAGGCAUCUCACGAAUCCGCGAUUGACGCUGAUGCACGAAAGCGUGGGUAUCAAACAGGAUUAGAUACCCGAGUAGUC